rnacentral:rRNA from 1 species
UACGUAGGGGGCGAGCGUUAUCCGGAAUUAUUGGGCGUAAAGAGUACGUAGGUGGUCAUCUAAGCGCAAGGUGAAAGACCGGGGCUUAACUCCGGUGAGCCUUGUGAACUGGAAGACUUGAGUGCAGGAGGGGAAAGUGGAAUUCCUGGUGUAGCGGUGAAAUGCGCAGAUAUCAGGAGGAACACCGGUGGCGAAGGCGACUUUCUGGACUGUAACUGACACUGAGGUACGAAAGCGUGGGUAGCAAACA